rnacentral:snRNA from 1 species
AUACUUACCUGGCAGAGGAGAUAAGACUACAAAGGUGGUUUUCUCAGGAUGAUACUUGUACAUUGCACUCUGGAUAUGCUAACCCCUGUAAUUUCCUCAAAUGCUGGAAACUUGACUGUGGUGGUGGGGGACUGUGACUGUGUUCACUCCACAGA